UACGAAGGGGGCUAGCGUUGCUCGGAAUCACUGGGCGUAAAGCGCACGUAGGCGGCUUGUUAAGUCAGGGGUGAAAUCCUGGAGCUCAACUCCAGAACUGCCUUUGAUACUGGCGAGCUUGAGUUCGGGAGAGGUGAGUGGAACUGCGAGUGUAGAGGUGAAAUUCGUAGAUAUUCGCAAGAACACCAAUGGCGAAGGCGGCUCACUGGCCCGAUACUGACGCUGAGGUGCGAAAGCGUGGGGAGCAAACAGG
rnacentral:rRNA from 1 species